rnacentral:tRNA from 1 species
UUGGUUGCAGCUCAGUGGUAGAGCAAUUGCCUGGCAUGUGCAAGGCCCUGGGUUCAAUUCCCAGCACAAAAA